GGGGCUGACUUGGAUUUCGACAGAUUUCUUGUCGCACAGAUAGCAUGCCAAGUGCUGCUUGUAAAACAGCAACAAAAAUAACUGUAAACAACACAGAUUACGCUCCAGCUUACGCUAAAGCUGCGUGAGUUAAUCUCCUUUUGGAGCUGGACCGAUUAGAAUUUCUAGCGUUUUAAUCACUCCAUAACCUUAAGCUAGACGCUUUUAAAAGGUGGUUCGCCUUUUAAACUAAGAAACAAGAACUCUUGAAACUACCUCAAGGUUUUAGAAAGUUGGACCAGAGCUAGUUUUAAGGCUAAAAAAUUAACCAAUUUUCUAAGCAUUGUAGAAGUUUGUGUUUAGGGCAAGAUUUUUGGACUGGGGUUCGAUUCCCCACAGCUCCACCA
rnacentral:tmRNA from 1 species